rnacentral:rRNA from 1 species
CCUACGGGCGGCUGCAGUGGGGAAUAUUGGACAAUGGGGGCAACCCUGAUCCAGCAAUGCCGCGUGUGUGAAGAAGGCCUGAGGGUUGUAAAGCACUUUCAGUGGGGAGGAGGUCGUAUAGGUUAAGAGCUAGUAUGAUGGACGUUACCCACAGAAGAAGCACCGGCUAACUCCGUGCCAGCAGCCGCGGUAAUACGGAGGGUGCGAGCGUUAAUCGGAAUUACUGGGCGUAAAGGGUGCGUAGGUGGUUAAUUAAGUUAGAUGUAAAAACCCUGGGCUUAACCUGGGACUGAGAUUUAAUACUGAUUAACUGGAGUAUUGGAGAGGGUAGUGGAAUUUCCGGUGUAGCGGUGAAAUGCGUAGAGAUCGGAAGGAACACCAGUGGCGAAGGCGGCUACCUGGCCAGAUACUGACACUGAAGCACGAAAGCGUGGGGAGCAAACAGGAUUAGAUACCCCGGUAGUC